rnacentral:rRNA from 1 species
UACGUAGGGUGCGAGCGUUAAUCGGAAUUACUGGGCGUAAAGGGCGCGUAGGCGGCAUGACAAGUCACUUGUGAAAUCUCCGGGCUUAACUCGGAACGGCCAAGUGAAACUGUCAAGCUAGAGUGCAGAAGGGGCAAUCGGAAUUCUUGGUGUAGCGGUGAAAUGCGUAGAUAUCUGGAGGAACACCGGUGGCGAAGGCGACAUCCUGGACUAACACUGACGCUGAGGAGCGAAAGCCAGGGGAGCAAACGGG